AGUGAACGCUGGCGGUAGGCCUAACACAUGCAAGUCGAACGGCAGCACAGUAAGAGCUUGCUCUUACGGGUGGCGAGUGGCGGACGGGUGAGGAAUACAUCGGAAUCUACUUUUUCGUGGGGGAUAACGUAGGGAAACUUACGCCAAUACCGCAUACGACCUACGGGUGAAAGCAGGGGAUCUUCGGACCUUGCGCGAUUGAAUGAGCCGAUGUCGGAUUAGCUAGUUGGCGGGGUAAAGGCCCACCAAGGCGACGAUCCGUAGCUGGUCUGAGAGGAUGAUCAGCCACACUGGAACUGAGACACGGUCCAGACUCCUACGGGAGGCAGCAGUGGGGAAUAUUGGACAAUGGGCGCAAGCCUGAUCCAGCCAUACCGCGUGGGUGAAGAAGGCCUUCGGGUUGUAAAGCCCUUUUGUUGGGAAAGAAAAGCAGCAGGUUAAUACCCCGCUGUUCUGACGGUACCCAAAGAAUAAGCACCGGCUAACUUCG
rnacentral:rRNA from 1 species